rnacentral:rRNA from 1 species
GCAGUCGACGAUGAAGCUGGAGCUUGCUCCGGUGGAUUAGUGGCGAACGGGUGAGUAACACGUGAGCAAUCUGCCCUUGACUCUGGGAUAACUGCGGGAAACUGUAGCUAAUACCGGAUACGACACCUUGGGGCAUCCCAGGGUGUGGAAAGAAUUUCGGUCAAGGAUGAGCUCGCGGCCUAUCAGCUAGUUGGUGAGGUAAUGGCUCACCAAGGCGACGACGGGUAGCCGGCCUGAGAGGGUGACCGGCCACACUGGGACUGAGACACGGUCCAGACUCCUACGGGAGGCAGCAGUGGGGAAUAUUGCACAAUGGGCGAAAGCCUGAUGCAGCAACGCCGCGUGAGGGAUGAAGGCCUUCGGGUUGUAAACCUCUUUUAGCAGGGAAGAAGCGAAAGUGACGGUACCUGCAGAAAAAGCACCGGCUAACUACGUGCCAGCAGCCGCGGUAAUACGUAGGGUGCAAGCGUUGUCCGGAAUUAUUGGGCGUAAAGAGCUCGUAGGCGGUUUGUCGCGUCUGCUGUGAAAAUCCGAGGCUCAACCUCGGACCUGCAGUGGGUACGGGCAAACUAGAGUGCGGUAGGGGAGAUGGGAAUUCCUGGUGUAGCGGUGGAAUGCGCAGAUAUCAGGAGGAACACCGAUGGCGAAGGCACAUCUCUGGGCCGUAACUGACGCUGAGGAGCGAAAGCGUGGGGAGCGAACAGGAUUAGAUACCCUGGUAGUCCACGCCGUAAACGGUGGGUGCUAGUUGUGGGUUCC